GGGUUCCAGUAAUUCCAGUGGUUCUAGUGGGUUUGAAAGUGUUACUCCACAUACGUCAGAAGAAUCCGACGCGCCGACCAGUCCUUCCAAUGGACGACUUGAUGAUCCUGACACAAAUUGUUCAGAUUUUGAGGAAGAAGAUGAAAAUAUUACGAAUGCCAAAGA